CCUUGACAUACUAAGAACUUUCCAGAGAUGGAUUGGUGCCUUCGGGAACUUAGAUACAGGUGCUGCAUGGCUGUCGUCAGCUCGUGUCGUGAGAUGUUGGGUUAAGUCCCGCAACGAGCGCAACCCUUUUCCUUAUUUGCCAGCGGGUCAUGCCGGGAACUUUAAGGAUACUGCCAGUGACAAACUGGAGGAAGGCGGGGACGACGUCAAGUCAUCAUGGCCCUUACGGCCAGAGCUACACACGUGCUACAAUGGUCGGUACAAAGGGUUGCUACCUCGCGAGAGGAUGCUAAUCUCAAAAAGCCGAUCGUAGUCCGGAUCGCAGUCUGCAACUCGACUGCGUGAAGUCGGAAUCGCUAGUAAUCGCGGAUCAGAAUGCCGCGGUGAAUACGUUCCCGGGCCUUGUACACACCGCCCGUCACACCAUGGGAGUUUGUUGCACCAGAAGUAGGUAGUCUAACCGCAAGGAGGACGCUUACCACGGUGUGGCCGAUGACUGGGGUGAAGUCGUAACAAGGUAGGCGUAGAUGA
rnacentral:rRNA from 1 species